GACGAACGCUGGCGGCGUGCCUAAUACAUGCAAGUUGAGCGAUGAAGAUUGGUGCUUGCUCCUCUUUGAAGAGCAGCGAACGGGUGAGUAACGCGUGGGGAAUCUGCCUUUGAGCGGGGGACAACUUCUGGAAACGAAUGCUAAUACCGCAUAACAACUUUAACCAUAAGUUUUAAGUUUGAAAGAUGCAAUUGCAUCACUCAAAGAUGAUCCCGCGUUGUAUUAGCUAGUUGGUUAGGUAAAGGCUCACCAAGGCGAUGAUACAUAGCCGACCUGAGGAGGGUAUCGGCCAAAUUGGGACUUGGACACGGCCCAAACUCCUACGGGAAGCAGCAGUAGGGAAUCUUCGGGAAUGGACGGAAGGCUGACCGGGCAACGCCGCGUGGGUGAAGAAGGUUUUCGGAUCGUAAAACUCUGUUGGUAGAGAAGAACGAUGGUGGGAGUGGAAAGCGCAUCAAGUGACGGUAACUACCCAGAAAGGGACGGCUAACUACGUG
rnacentral:rRNA from 1 species